UACAGAGGUCCCAAGCGUUGUUCGGAUUCACUGGGCGUAAAGGGUGCGUAGGUGGCCAGGUAAGUUUGAUGUGAAAUCUCCGGGCUUAACCCGGAAACUGCAUUGAAUACUAUCUGGCUAGAGAGUUGGAGGGGAGACUGGAAUACUUGGUGUAGCAGUGAAAUGCGUAGAUAUCAAGUGGAACACCAGUGGCGAAGGCGAGUCUCUGGACAACUUCUGACACUGAGGCACGAAAGCUAGGGGAGCAAACAGG
rnacentral:rRNA from 1 species